GCCCCAGUAGCUCAGUGGCAGAGCACUUGACAUGAAUUCAAGGGAGCCGUGGUUCAAUUCCCGGCUGGGUA
rnacentral:tRNA from 1 species